rnacentral:lncRNA from 1 species
ACGGUGCGACUUCAAACAAGUGUGGCGUGUCGCUUUGCAUGCAUGGCCGUCUUGACACGUACCCUAAAACAUAAAUGUCACCUUCUCGUCUGCUUCUCUCUCUCGUCAGGUUGUAAUUGUUUCCCCAGUUCACAAUUUUUUAUCCGAGCUACAGAAAUGGCGCCAUCCGAGUCGCACAAGUUGAGGAAUUGGGUGCAUUCUUGGUAAUUUUAUUCACUUGUGUAUAUAUUUUUUUUCCAUUUGUACCCAAAAAAAUUAUUAUAUUGCGAUUGAUUGUCCCCAUUAAUUUCUCUUCACAUGAAGUCCCAUCUCUGUUUCUCCUUCAGAUAGCUCCUAUUUUUGGGUGGGGGGAUUGGAGGAAUAAUUUUAUUUUCUGAAAAUUGAAAAUGAUGGUGGUUUGGGGAUCGACAAUUAAAUAAUUUAAAUUCAUUUCUUGUAAAAUCAAAUUUGAUUUUCCACUGCACGAUUUGUUUUUGAUGAUAAGGAGGUGAUGGUCAUCAUGAGUUAGUUUUUAAUUUUGUUUGAACGAAGAUGGUUAUCAUGAGUUAGUAGUAUUUCUCGAUUAACGAGUCAAGAACAGCUUUAAUAAUGGGGCCUUGAGUGGCAAUGCCAUAAAUGAUUAAACAGACUCCAUGUGAUUUCUCUGCAACACCAGGUAAAUAAAACACAAUUAUUAUUAUUAAAUAAAUAAAUAAAAGAAUUUUAAUGUACCUUUGCUGUGGAUAAAGCAAAGUUUGACUCUAGUUAAUUACUUUCUUUCUCUGGCAAAGUACUUCAGCUAUUAAGUCUUUUUGGCUGGGUGCAGUGGCCGUCUGUGUUUGUCAUUUUUUUUUUUUUUUUUUUUUUUCUGCAAUUGUCUUUUCUUUUUCCUUUUUUUCUAGGGAUUUUAACUUAAAAUCAGGGAUUGUACGAAACCGAGAGUAUUAGGGUUGGUGAAAAGGAGGCAGUGCACAAGAAGGCUACAAGUAAUAACAAUGUGAAAACAGUAGUGGCGCCAGCAGUCCAAGAAGGCUUGCAUUUGCGCACCAACCACACAUGCUGGCUCGUUCAAGUGCCAUCUCCAUCGAGCCAAAUCAUCCGUUCCGAACCCACCGGGAUCUGCUUUUGUUAUUAGCAGCACCAAAUCUCAGCUGUCUUGUUUUGGUAGGGUUCCAUUUCAAGAGAACUGCUUUUGCCACAGUCUCUCUCGUGGUUUUAUUUCCUUUGAGGAUGUAAAUAUCAGCAGUUAUGUACAUAAAUAAAUUUUCUCUGAUUUCAGUUGACCAAUGUAACAAUUUACUUUUUGUAGAAAUGAAAUGUAG